rnacentral:rRNA from 1 species
UCGAACGGUAGCACAGAGAGCUUGGCUCUCGGGUGACGAGCGGCGGACGGGGUGAGUAAUGUCUGGUUUGAUUCCUGAUGGGAGGGGAUUUACUCGUUUUAGAUCCCGUCUACUUCCGCUAUUGAUUGACGAAAACAAUCCGUGGGACAUGCUGGCGUAAUAGCUUGUUUGUGCCAAAGAUAGGAUUAGCUACGUCGGACAGUCAAAUAUCACUUAGGCCACGCGUUCUAUAUGAUCCGAUAGGGAGACCGCACACCAUCAAAAGAGGCACUGUCUCGUCUUCUACUAGUGGCCGCUGUAGUGUAUAAGCACAAAGUGUGCAAGCAUCAUGCAACCAUUCUGCGAGUAUUACGAAGGCCGUAGGGUUCUAUAGUACUUUCUCGCUGGGAGGACGGCGAUAAGGAAAAUAACCUUGUCGAUUGUUGUUACCCGCAGAAGAAACACAGGCUAACUCAGUUCCAGCAGCCGCGGUAAUACGGAGGGUACAAGCGUUAAUCGGAAUUAUUGGGCGUAAAGCGCAAGCAGGCGGUCUGUCAAGUCGGAUGUGAAAUCCCCUGGCUCAACCUGGGUACUGCAUUCGAAACUGGCAGGCUAGAGUCUUGUAGAGGGGGGUAGAAUUCCAGGUGUAGCGGUGAAAUUCGUAGAGAUCUGGAGGAAUACCGGUGGCGAAGGCGGCCCCCUGGACAAAGACUGACGCUCAGGUGCGAAAGCGUGGUGAGCAAGGAGGAUUAGAUACCCUGGUAGUCCACGCCGUAAUCGAUGUAGGGUUUGGAGGUUGUGCCCUUGAGGCGUGGCUUCCGGAGCUUACAGCUUAAAUCG